AUGAGGGAAUUCAUGGAGGUGCAGGCCCACGGCAACACAAAGUUGCACGUGAUCCACACCAACGACUUGCACAAGGCGGCGACCACUAUUGAGCAGUUCGAGCGAUACCUCCAGUUCGAGCGCCACAAGAUCGUCGGAGUUGAUGUGAAGUACACCAACGACCAUGGCGAAGAUCAAAAACCCGCCCUAGCCCAGCUCUCCAUCGGCAAGGAUCAUCCGGUGCUACUCUCCCAACUAAGCGCGGCCGACAAGAACUGCACCAUGUUCGACAACUUCCUCGCGGACCCCAGGUACAUGUUUGUUGGCUUCUCCAUCGACGGCGACAUAGAGAUGCUCGGCCGCAUCGGACUGGAGAUCGCCCACUACGUCGACAUCCAGAAGGAAUGUAAGGUGCCUACAGCUACCAAGCCUCUGGACUCCCUUGGGGACGUCUCAGGCAUCCUUGUCCACGACGUAGAGCUCACUAACACAGAGCACCAGCGCUGGGCGUGCAUGCACCUGUCCAUGAGGCACAAUGAGUACGCGGCAAAGGACGCUUACGCUGCGUACGAGAUAUGGAGCUGCCUCAGCAUCAUCCAGGAAGGGCUUCGCCGGGAAAAACUCGACAAGGAGCAGACCAGAAAGCGCACUAGGUCCUGUGGCGACUAUGACUACUGA
rnacentral:rRNA from 1 species